rnacentral:tRNA from 1 species
GCCCUCAUAGUUCAGCCAGGAUAGAAUACGACCUUGCGGAGGUUGUGACCGAGGUUCAAAUCCUCGUGGGGGCA